CCGCUAGAUAAAUUAUUUGGAUCAGACUGGGCUACUUUUCUGGACAGCUUUAUUGCGGGCAAAAUGCCCAUCGGUAUGCGUGACGGGGAAUGGUAUUUGGACCAUAUUUUAGGAUGGCUACAGCAUAGAGACGAUAAGAAUGUGAUGUUUUUCUAUUACGAAGAUAUGAAACAGAAUCCGGUAAAAGAAUUUAGCAGAAUGGCGAAGUUUUUGGAUUUAAAUCUCACUGAAGAAAACAUACGAGAACAG